rnacentral:rRNA from 1 species
ACGCUGGCGGCGUGCCUAACACAUGCAAGUCGAGCGGUAACAGGUGUAGCAAUACAUGCUGACGAGCGGCGGACGGGUGAGUAACGCUUGGGAAUCUGCCUAUUAGUGGGGGAUAACUCGGGGAAACUCGAGCUAAUACCGCAUACGCACUACGGUGGAAAGCUGGGGACCGCAAGGCCUGGCGCUAAUAGAUGAGCCCAAGUCGGAUUAGCUAGUUGGUAGGGUAAUGGCCUACCAAGGCGACGAUCCGUAACUGGUCUGAGAGGACGACCAGUCACACCGGAACUGAGACACGGUCCGGACUCCUACGGGAGGCAGCAGUGGGGAAUAUUGGACAAUGGGCGAAAGCCUGAUCCAGCGACGCCGCGUGGGUGAAGAAGGCCUGCGGGUUGUAAAGCCCUUUCAGUGGGGAAGAAAAGCCUCGAGUGAAUACCUCGGGGUCUUGACGUAACCCAUAGAAGAAGCACCGGCUAACUCUGUGCCAGCAGCCGCGGUAAUACAGAGGGUGCGAGCGUUAAUCGGAAUUACUGGGCGUAAAGCGCGCGUAGGCGGCUUUGCAAGUCGGAUGUGAAAUCCCCGGGCUCAACCUGGGAACUGCAUUCGAGACUGCAUUGCUAGAGUAUGGGAGAGGGAAGUGGAAUUUCAGGUGUAGCGGUGAAAUGCGUAGAUAUCUGAAGGAACAUCAGUGGCGAAAGCGACUUCCUGGACCAAUACUGACGCUCAUGUGCGAAAGCGUGGGGAGCAAACAGGAUUAGAUACCCUGGUAGUCCACGCCAUAAACGAUGAGAACUGGAUGUCGGGAGGGUUCUGCCUCUCGGUGUCGUAGCUAACGCGUUAAGUUCUCCGCCUGGGGAGUACGGCCGCAAG